UAGGGAAUCUUCGGCAAUGGACGAAAGUCUGACCGAGCAACGCCGCGCGAGUGAAGAAGGUUUUUGGAUCGUAAAACUCUGUUGUUAGAGAAGAACAAGGACGUUAGUAACUGAACGUCCCCUGACGGUAUCUAACCAGAAAGCCACGGCUAAUUACGUGCCAGCAGCCGCGGUAAUACGUAGGUGGCAAGCGUUGUCCGGAUUUAUUGGGCGUAAAGCGAGCGCAGGCGGUUUCUUAAGUCGGAUGUGAAAGCCCCCGGCUCAACCGGGGAGGGUCAUUAGAAACUGGGAGACUUGAAUGCAGGAGAGGAGAGUAGAAUUCCAUGUGUAGCGGUGAAAUGCGUAGAUAUAUGGAGGAACACCAGUGGCGAAGGCGGCUCUCUGGUCUGUAACUGACGCUGAGGCUCGAGAGCGUGGGGAGCAAACAAG
rnacentral:rRNA from 1 species